CAGCGUCCUGAGGUGACGAUGUAUCUAUUGGUUUAUGUUGAUGAUAUCAUCCUUGUCAGUUCCUCUGAUGCUGCUGCUGAUCGCCUUGUGUCUGCGUUGAGUGAGGAGUUUGAUGUCAAGGAUUUGGGUGCCCUGCAUUACUUCCUUGGUUUGGAGGUAUCCCGGUCUUCUGCUGGGUUGACUCUGACUCAGAAGAAGUAUUCUUUGGAUUUGUUGCGUCGUGCUGGGAUGCUCAAAUGCAAACAUGCUAUCACUCCGAUGUCUGCGACUGAUCGGUUGUCUGCUCUUGAUGGAGAUCUUCUUUCCACUGAUGACGCCACUGAGUAUCGCAGUCUUGUUGGCGGUCUGCAAUAUCUCACUAUCACCAGGCCUGAUGUCUCUUAUGCAGUCAACCGUGUGUGCCAGUACCUUCAUGCACCUCGUACCACUCAUUUCUCGGCAGUUAAGCGCAUUCUGCGGUAUGUCUCUUCCACUGCCUCGUAUGGUCUGCUCCUUCAGUCUGCACCGUCUUGUGAACUUUCGGCUUUCUCUGAUGCGGAUUGGGCUGGAAGUCCUGAUGAUCGGCGAUCCACGGGGGGAUAUGCAGUGUUCUUUGGUCCUAACUUGAUCGCCUGGAAUGCUUGCAAGCAAGCCACCGUGUCUCGUAGCAGUACUGAAGCUGAGUAUAAAGCAGUUGCUGAUGCCACCGCUGAGAUCAUAUGGGUACAGUCCUUAUUGCGGGAGUUGAGAAUCUCUCCAGGUCAUCCUCCAGUUCUGUGGUGUGACAACAUUGGUGCUACAUACCUUUCAUCUAAUCCGGUGUUUCAUGCUAGGACGAAACACAUUGAGGUUGACUAUCACUUUGUUCGGGAAUGUGUUGCACAGAGACUACUUUGUAUC
rnacentral:rRNA from 1 species